AGAGUUUGAUCCUGGCUCAGGAUGAACGCUGGCGGUGUGCUUAAUACAUGCAAGUCGAGCGGUAAGGCCUCUUCGGAGGUACACGAGCGGCGGACGGCUGAGUAACGCGUAGGAACGUACCCCAAAGUGAGGGAUAAGCACCAGAAAUGGUGUCUAAUACCGCAUGUGAUCUUCGGAUUAAAGCUUUAUGCGCUUUGGGAACGGCCUGCGUAUGAUUAGCUUGUUGGUGAGGUAAUGGCUCACCAAGGCAAUGAUCAUUAGCUGGUCUGAGAGGAUGAUCAGCCAGACUGGGACUGAGACACGGCCCANACUCCUACGGGAGGCAGCAGUAGGGAAUUUUCCACAAUGGGCGAAAGCCUGAUGGAGCAACACCGCGUGCAGGAUGAAGGCCUUCGGGUUGUAAACUGCUUUUAUAUGUGAAGAAUAUGACGGUAGCAUAUGAAUAAGGAUCGGCUAACUCCGUGCCAGCAGCCGCGGUCAUACGGAGGAUCCANGCGUUAUCCGGAAUUACUGGGCGUAAAGAGUUGCGUAGGUGGCGAAGUAAGUUGGUAGUGAAAGCGUUCGGCUCAACCGAAUAUCCAUUACCAAAACUGCUUANGCUAGAGGAUGAGAGAGGUUAUUGGNAAUUCCCUGGUGUAGGAGUGAAAUCCGUANAUAUAGGGAGGAACACCG
rnacentral:rRNA from 1 species